rnacentral:misc_RNA from 1 species
AGGAGUCUAACAUGCCCGCGAGUUCAACAUUUUAGAUGCUGAGCGCGCGAAAGAGAAAAGCAUUUCACUACUAGCAGAGCGUGUAUGUUAGGUCCCGAAAGAUGGCGAACUAUGCCUGAUCAGGGUGAAGUCAGUGGAAACUUUGGUGGAGGCUCUCAGCGGUUCUGACGUGCAAAUCGAUCGUCUAAAUUGGGUAUAGGGGCGAAAGACUAAUCGAACCAUUUAGUUGCUGGUUCUCUC